AUGUCUGAAGCCAACAGCCCCAAAGCACCAUCCGUCUAUCCCUUGACACCCAAUUCCAGAGAUGCAUCUGACUCCAUGGUGACCUUGGGCUGCAUGGUCAAGGACUUCUUCCCAGAGAUGGUGGCAGUAUCCUGGCCCUCUGUCCCCCAGGCUGAUGUGCACACCUUCACACCCAUGCGGCAUUCGUCUGGCUACUACUCCCUUAUCAGCAUGGUCACCAUGCCAUCUAGCAGCUGGCCCAGCCAGGAUUAUGCCUGCAGUGUCACCCACACGCCCAGUGAGACCAAAGUGGACAAGAAGAUCGGUGAGCCUUGGGCAGGGGCACAAUGCAGAUGCCCAGCUCCUGAAAAUCUGGGAGGACCCUCCAUCUUCAUCUUCCCACCCAAGCCCAAGGACACCCUCAUGAUGACCCGAAACCCAGAGGUGACGUGUCUUGUGUUGGAUGUGGGCCAGGAUGACCCCGAAGUCCAGUUCAGUUGGUUUGUGGAUGGCACAGAGGUGCACACAGCCAAGACCGAGCCACAGGAGGAGCAGUUCAAUGGCACCUACCGCGUGACCAGCGUGCUCCCCAUCCUGCAUCAGGACUGGCUCUCGGGCAAGGAGUUCAAGUGCAUUGUCAACAAUGGGGCCCUUCCUGGCCCUGCUGUAAGGACCGUCUCCAAGGCCAAGGGACAGCCUCAGGCUCCUCAAGUGUACACCAUGGCCCCAGUCAGCGAUGAGCAGGACAUGCUCACACUCGUCUGCUUUGUGAAUGGAUUCUACCCCAAGGACAUCAAUGUGGAGUGGAAGAGCAAUGAGCAGCCUGUUCCCCAGGCCAACUACGUGAACACGCCUCCCCAGGCCAAUUCCGACGGGACCUUCUUCUUGUACAGUAAACUGAAAGUGUCCAAUAAGAUCAGGAAUCCAGGACUAGUUUACCACUGCACAGUGAUGCACGAGGCCCUGCACAACCACUACACCCAGAAGGUGGUCCCUUUGACCCAGGAGCUGCCCCCAGAUGAGAGUUGUGCAGAGGCCCAGGAGGGGGAGCUGGACGGGCUGUGGACCACCAUCUCCAUCUUCAUCACCCUCUUCCUGCUCAGCGUGUGUUACAGCGCCACCGUCACGCUCUUCAAGGUGAACUGGAUCUUCUCCUCCGGAGGGGAACUGAAACGCACCAUCGUGCCCAACUACAGAAACAUGAUCGGCCAGGCAGCCUAG